GAGUUUGAUCCUGGCUCAGAAUCAACGCUGGCGGCGUGCCUAACACAUGCAAGUCGAACGCGAAAGCCCCGCAAGGGGUAAGUAGAGUGGCAAACGGGUGAGUAACACGUGGGUGACCUGCCUUCGAGUGGGGGAUAACGUCCCGAAAGGGACGCUAAUACCGCAUGACAUCCUGCUCUUGGACGAGCGGAGAUCAAAGCCGGGGAUCGCAAGACCUGGCGCUUGAAGAGGGGCCCGCGCCUGAUUAGCUAGUUGGUGGGGUAAUGGCUCACCAAGGCAACGAUCAGUAUCCGGCCUGAGAGGGCGGACGGACACACUGGGACUGAGACACGGCCCAGACUCCUACGGGAGGCAGCAGUGGGGAAUUGUUCGCAAUGGGCGCAAGCCUGACGACGCAACGCCGCGUGGAGGACGAAGAUCUUCGGGUCGUAAACUCCUGUCGAGCGGAACGAACGCUUCGCGGGUGAAUAAUCCGCGGAAUUGACGGUACCGCUAAAGGAA
rnacentral:rRNA from 1 species